rnacentral:rRNA from 1 species
GAUGAACGCUGGCGGCGUGCCUAAUACAUGCAAGUCGAGCGAACAGACGAGGAGCUUGCUCCUCUGACGUUAGCGGCGGACGGGUGAGUAACACGUGGAUAACCUACCUAUAAGACUGUGAUAACUUCGGGAAACCGGAGCUAAUACCGGAUAAUAUAUUGAACCGCAUGGUUCAAUAGUGAAAGACGGUUUUGCUGUCACUUAUAGAUGGAUCCGCGCCGCAUUAGCUAGUUGGUAAGGUAACGGCUUACCAAGGCAACGAUGCGUAGCCGACCUGAGAGAGUGAUGGGCCACACAGGAACUGAGACACGCGCCAGACUCCUACGGGGGGCAGCAGUAGGGAAUAUACUGCAAUGGGCGAGAACGUGACGGAGCAAGGCGGCGCGAGUGAUGAAGGGCUUCUGAUCGUAAGACCCUGUUAUGAGGGAAGAACAAAUGUGUAAGUAACUAUGCACGUCUUGACGGUACCUAAUCAGAAAGCCACGGCUAACUACGUG